rnacentral:rRNA from 1 species
AUGAACGCUGGCGGCGUGCCUAAUACAUGCAAGUCGAGCGCACAGACGAGGAGCUUGCUCCUCUGACGUUAGCGGCGGACGGGUGAGUAACACGUGGAUAACCUACCUAUAAGACUGGGAUAACUUCGGGAAACCGGAGCUAAUACCGGAUAAUAUAUUGAACCGCAUGUUUCAAUAGUGAAAGACGGUUUUGCUGUCACUUAUAGAUGGAUCCGCGCCGCAUUAGCUAGUUGGCAAGGUAACGGCUUACCAAGGCAACGAUGCGUAGCCGACCUGAGAGGGUGAUCGGCCACACUGGAACUGAGACACGGUCCAGACUCCUACGGGAGGCAGCAGUAGGGAAUCUUCCGCAAUGGGCGAAAGCCUGACGGAGCAACGCCGCGUGAGUGAUGAAGGUCUUCGGAUCGUAAAACUCUGUUAUUAGGGAAGAACAAAUGUGUAAGUAACUAUGCACGUCUUGACGGUACCUAAUCAGAAAGCCACGGCUAACUACGUG